rnacentral:misc_RNA from 1 species
GAAGGCGGCCACUUGAUAGAGGGUUGUUAUAUUCAGGUUCGACUGUAUCUGCUUCUCUCUUUUUUUAAGUUCGUUUUAUAUUCGUGUCCAGAGAAUUGAUUGCAGAAGAUAAUUGUAUCUAUAGUCUUUUAAGCAUCAAGUUGGAACAGUAGAUACAUACAUGUACAUCAACUAUUUACAUUACAUUAAGAGUAGCUUUAAUUUAUUAUCUCAAGAAACCUGAAUUUUAUGAUAAUUAAAUUAUUUGGACAAUUAACUUCAUUCUUUCAACAGAGGUGUCCUGAUUGCUCAUUUGAGAGCCCCAUAGCCAGAAAGCAGUGCAAAAAUGCUGGCUGUUUGUUUGAAUUUAAAAAGAAGGAAAAGGAUUGGGAGUGCCUUCAUAAAAUGGGAAAGGUCAAUCCAACCAUCCAGAGAGAGCUUCUGGAGAAGAGGGCUGAUAUAUUGCAUGUCAAGUCAGGCUUUGAUGUUGCAGUAUUUUACCGGGCCAAACAUGGAACCGGGAAAUCAUUUUACUACUAUGGCACCCCUGGACUUGGAGAAGAAUUUUUAAGGAGCAAUUCAGACUUUGCCCCGACAGUUAAAGACAUGUUUGAGGCAUUUAGUGUACAAUAUGGUCCUCCUCCUACCAAAGCCAGUCCUCAGGAUCCUCAGCCACCUUCCGACUGCCCUUCCGCUGAAGCAAGUGAUCUUGAACAUCAACAACCCAGCAACUGUCCAUCUUCUCAAGUUCUGGCACCCACUACAGCAAGCAUUGCUGACUCCCCACAACCCCCCCCAACUGCCCAUCCUCUCAAGUCCCUGCAUCUGCUACAGCAAGUCCUGCUGACUCCCCACAAACCAACAACUAUCCAUCUUCUCAAGUUCUGGCACCUGCCAUAGCAAGCCAUCCUGACUCUCCACCAACUCUCCAACCCACCAACUGUCCUUCAUCUCAAGGAAUUGAUGUAGUUCUCUACAGUGUGGAAGGUCAAGCGGUUGCCGUAGGUUACAUGGAGUGUGACCGUCAGUUUCUUCUUGGCAAGUG